GGUCUCAUGGUGUAAUGGUCAUCACUCUGACUCUGAAUCGAGCGAUCCGAGUUCAAAUCUCGGUGAGACCU
rnacentral:tRNA from 1 species